GUGGGCCCUCGAAAUCCUGUGGCGAGAACAUUCAGUCAUAACGUCGUGUCGCUUUGCUGGGCAUGCAUUAUGGUUCACGUGACGUGGCCGGCCCGGCUAGCGCUGCGCGGCGAGCUGACGCAUUUGUUUCUCGCCCGAAGGACGCCGCAACCGGUUGGAGGACGGUCUUAAAAGCGAGAGCCGGCAGGUGGCCGUGCGGCGCGCCUCGUGCGUGUCGCCGGUUGUUAGCCUUUUCGCAAGACGACCCGUCCGCCGACCGUGGCAAUAGAGAGGCCCGGCUGGGCUUCGUCGUCUCCUCCUAUGGCUAGCGUGUAAAGAAGCGUCGCAGGAGUUCGGAGCGGUGUUGUCACACGGAUCAACUUCGUGGGCACGCGCCGCUACGUCUCUGUUGGCUUGAUGCAAGGCACGCGGGAGUGAUUGACGGUUAGCGGCGAGUAGAUCGGUCACCCACCCGACCCGUCUUGAAACACGGACCAAGGAGUUGAACAUGUGCGCGAGUCAAUGGGUCUUGAAUAAGCCCAGAGGCGAAAUGAAAGUAUAGGCUGAAGGAGUUCAGCCGCAUUCGGGAUCCCCUUUCCCUCGCGGAGGGGGCGCACCGAAGACCCGCCGCGUUCCACUCGUGGUUGUGGCGGAGUUUGAGCGCACACGUUCUGACCCGAAAGAUGGUGAACUAUGCCCGGACAGGACGAAGCCAGAGGAAACUCUGGUGGAGGUCCGUAGCGGUUCUGACGUGCAAAUCGAUCGUCAGAUCUGGGUCUAGC
rnacentral:rRNA from 1 species